rnacentral:rRNA from 1 species
CCUACGGGCGGCAGCAGUGGGGAAUAUUGGACAAUGGGGGGAACCCUGAUCCAGCCAUGCCGCGUGUGUGAAGAAGGCCCUCGGGUUGUAAAGCACUUUCAGUGAGGAAGAACGCCUGGUGGUUAAUACCCAUCAGGAAAGACAUCACUCACAGAAGAAGCACCGGCUAACUCCGUGCCAGCAGCCGCGGUAAUACAGAGGGUGCGAGCGUUAAUCGGAAUUACUGGGCGUAAAGCGCGCGUAGGUGGCUUGAUAAGCCGGUUGUGAAAGCCCCGGGCUCAACCUGGGAACGGCAUCCGGAACUGUCAAGCUAGAGUGCAGGAGAGGAAGGUAGAAUUCCCGGUGGAGCGGUGAAAUGCGUAGAGAUCGGGAGGAAUACCAGUGGCGAAGGCGGCCUUCUGGACUGACACUGACACUGAGGUGCGAAAGCGUGGGUAGCAAACAGGAUUAGAUACCCUAGUAGUC